rnacentral:rRNA from 1 species
AUGCAGCUCGUCUCCUGGGGCCGGACCGCCGUUAACAUUAACGGUGAGAUUGGUCCCUUCUUCCCCACGCUUUGUGGGGUCCGACAAGGCGACCCAUUCUCUCCGUUCUUGUUUAACAUGGUGGUGGACGCCCUUGCGGCCAUCCUGGACAAGGCCAAGUUGGCGGGCCAUAUCCACGGCGUGGUUCCCCACCUAGUAGGAGGGGGAGGGGUUUCCCUCCUUCAAUAUGCCGACGACACCAUAAUAAUGGUUGAGGGCUCCGCGUCCGAUAUUGCCAACCUGAAGUUUCUCCUCCUAUGCUUCCAACAGAUGUCCGGGCUCACUAUCAACUUUGACAAAAGCGAAGUGAUGGUUCUGGGAUACACACCGGACGAGGCCCUGGGCAUUGCUGACCGGCUUAAUUGCCGCCUGGGUACUUUCCCCAUGACAUAUUUGGGGAUACCCAUUAGUGACUCGCGACUCACCAUGGCAGACCUCCGCCCAACUGUGACCUGGAUGCAACACCGGGUUGAGCCCUGGAAGGGGCGGUGGCUCUCGAAGGCGGCGAUGGUAAUCCUCAUCAACUCCUCGCUUGCUAGCCUCCUCUGGUUCCUCAUGAGCUUCUACAGCUUGCAUGAGACGCUCCAUCAGGAGAUCGCCAAGUACCAGUCCAGAUUUUUCUGGGCAGGCGAGGGAGACAAGCAGAAGUACCAUAUGGUGAGCUGGCCGAACAUUUGCAAACCUAAGGACCAGGGCGGUCUUUGGAUCCUUUCUUCUUGGCGCAUGAAGAUCGCUCUCCUGACCCGUUGGCUCUGGCGUAUCGCCAACGAGGAGGGCGGCCUCUGGCUCACUAUCCUCCGAAAUAAGUACCUUCGGGGCCAACCUCUUGCCUUUGCCAGCGCUCGGGUGGAUCCCAGUUCUGGCAGGCGGUGA